rnacentral:rRNA from 1 species
UACGAAGGGGGCUAGCGUUGCUCGGAAUCACUGGGCGUAAAGCGCACGUAGGCGGAUUGUUAAGUCAGGGGUGAAAUCCUGGAGCUCAACUCCAGAACUGCCUUUGAUACUGGCGAUCUCGAGUCCGGGAGAGGUGAGUGGAACUGCGAGUGUAGAGGUGAAAUUCGUAGAUAUUCGCAAGAACACCAGUUGCGAAGGCGGCCGACUGGACACAUAUUGACGCUGAGGCUCGAAAGCAUGGGGAGCAAACAGG